rnacentral:lncRNA from 1 species
UCUUAUCUAUUUAAAUAAAACCCUACUAUUUUUAUUAAUUCACUAAGUCUCCUCAAUUCUCACUAAUUCCAUCAUUUUCCUUAAUUUUAAUUUUAAUUCUAACUUCCUCCCCAAAGCUCAAUUUCUCAAUAUUUAUAUUAUUUAAAUUAAUGAUAAUUAUAAUAAAAUUCUACCCAUCCUCAAUAAUACCAAUAAAUUAAAUAGUGCACUCAAAUAAAAUAAUAUAAAGCAUUUUAAUUUUAAUUAAAAUAAAAUAAACAAAAAAUCGAGACGUUAAAAC